AGGAGGUGAUGUAUGGGUAUGUUAGAUUAAGCUUUGUAGUUUAUGAUAAAAUUUUUGUAUGUGGAGCAAAGGAAAGGAGGGGCUUUAGGUUUUUUGCUAUUUGUUUUUUAGUUUUGCAUAUUAUUAGAAGAGUAUUUUUAUUAUUGAUAAUUAGUAGAAAUAAAAGGGGAGGGAUUUUUGAUUUUAUUGUUGUAUAAUAGGAAUUAUUGUUUUUUGUUUUGAUAUAACGUCUUUUAUUAUAUCUGUGUUUUAUUUGUUUCUUAGAAAAUUGUAAAUUUGGUUUGUUUUUAUGGAAGUGUAGGAUUUGGAGUUUUUUGUGUUUUAGUGUUAUGACUUUUUCUGUGGCUGUGUUUGAUUUUUUAUUGUUUAUAUUAAUAUUUUAAUGUUUAAAUAAUUUUUGAUUUAGUAGAUUGUUGAGAUUGUAUUUGUUGUUAUGGAUUUAGAUUUAAUGACUGGUUUUAUAAUCAAAUGUUUAUUAAAGACUUAGACACUAAUUUGGUGUUGUCCUCUGCUCUAUGAUUAUUAAAUGGCCGCCUUAGCGUGAGGGCAUGAAAGUAGCAAAAUAAUUUGUGUUUUUAAUGGAUUCGAGUAUGAAAGGGGGUUUGGUUAUUUUUGUUUUGUUUUUGUUUUGAAUUAAAGUAGUGUUUAAUAAUUAAUAUGUGUAGUUAAACAAAGAUAAGUCUUCGGAAAUUCUGUUAAUUAUAGGAGAUUUGAAUUUUGUAGUUAUGUUGUUUAGGGCAAGAUUUUGUAUAAAGGGGUUUACUAGUUUUAAGAUAAAGAGUUACUUCGGAGUUAACAGAAAAUCACAUUUUUUCUAGAUGUUAUAGAUAAAAGGGUUUUACAUCGGUGUUGUAUUCUAAUUGGCCGGAGGAGUAGGAUAAAAGG
rnacentral:rRNA from 1 species